rnacentral:rRNA from 1 species
AGUGAACGCUGGCGGUAGGCCUAACACAUGCAAGUCGAACGGCAGCACAGUAAGAGCUUGCUCUUACGGGUGGCGAGUGGCGGACGGGUGAGGAAUACAUCGGAAUCUACUUUUUCGUGGGGGAUAACGUAGGGAAACUUACGCUAAUACCGCAUACGACCUACGGGUGAAAGCAGGGGAUCUUCGGACCUUGCGCGAUUGAAUGAGCCGAUGUCGGAUUAGCUAGUUGGCGGGGUAAAGGCCCACCAAGGCGACGAUCCGUAGCUGGUCUGAGAGGAUGAGCAGCCACGCUGGAACUGAGACACGGUCCAGACUCCUACGGGAGGCAGCAGUGGGGAAUAUUGGACAAAGGGCGCAAGCCUGAUCCAGCCAUACCGCGUGGGUGAAGAAGGCCUUCGGGUUGUAAAGCCCUUUUGUUGGGAAAGAAAAGCAGCAGGUUAAUACCCCGCUGUUCUGACGGUACCCAAAGAAUAAGCACCGGCUAACUUCGUG